CUGAGUAUGAGAAAGUGUCGUUAUUUAUUCAUUUGCCAUUAAUUUAUUUGUUUUAAAGAAUGUAAGUUUAUCUUGUUGAGAAACACAGAGGAAAGGUAUUUGAGGGAAGGUUGGCUUCACAUUGUCCCUCAGUUAACAUGAACAGUCACCAUAACAGUCAAGCAAGACUACUUCUUAGAUGUAAAUAAAAUCCUAAGCUGCUUUUCAAGUUCCCAUAGUAGGUGGCUGAAUCUAAAUGUGAGGAAAGCGUGGACCACAUUCAGGUGGGGAAGUUCAGGUGAUUUGAAAGCACAGACCACAAAUCUACUCAUGAGAUCCUGAUGCCUCUAGUUUUUGAAGCAGCUCAAGAGGACAUGUAUAGCAAGGUCCAGAAAUGUCCAGAAAUAAUUCUGAUUUUAUUGUCUCUUUUCAUCUUUCUGACUAAAAUUAGCAAGUAUGACCAAGGUUUAUGCUGAUGACCUCAGCAUAAAUCCUCAAAGGUUGCCACAAUUGGAAGAAAACAUUUCUAAGUUGACAGUUGUCCUGUGUCCCUCGUUCCUUCCUGUGGCACUUUCUUGUGCUCAGUCAUGGUUUGUUCUAACUGCUGCUAAUUCCUCAUAAUUCUAUAAAGUUUUUCUUCAGCAACAGACUACUAGACCCUGGUCACCAUGUCCCUAUGCUGUCAUUGUCCAAAUGCAGUCAAAAUUGCGAAGGAGAAACGAGAUGCCCUGUGGAUCAUCCAAGUGCCAAGUCUAUUCUUCCCUGACUCACUGUGAUAGACCAUCGCCGUCUCCUCCUUAUGAUCAUGUUCAUAUACCCUACUGGGGUGCUGAUUCCUCUUUUGCCUGCUGGUCCCUUGGCGAAGGACCCUGGAGUGACUGGGUGUAGUAUCUUAAAGCAGAAGCCAGAUUUCAUCGGCUUGGGGGAAAAGGAUCACAUCUUUUAUUCUCCCCAGCUGAAUUGCCUGAGAUGGUCAUUUUGUCUUCCCUCUUUCUCUUUCCCCAGCCUCAAUGUUCUUAGCAAAUAAUGAAGAAGGACUUCUGGUAAGAUUUCUAGUGACCUGGCAAAGCUAGUUGGCAGGCAGGGUAUGUAAUCACUACAGGAAAGUUGAUUCUGUUAGGAUAAAAUGUCAGCCUGAAUUUCAACAGUGCUGGGGAAUCUUUCAUAUCAAUGGUCUCUAUUUCUAUACAAAACUGAAAGAGAAAAGGUAGAGAAUACCACUGCUUCUAUUAUCCAGGGUGAAUUUAUUUAAUUUGGCAUUUUAAUAAUUAUAUGACAUACACUAGGACAAAAAAUGGCUCCCUUUUCUUGGUUUCUCCCAGAUAAGAAUUUUGAGCACAUUAUCAGAGAAAUGUCUGCUUAUUCUUCAAGUCUUUACAUAGACCAUUUUAAUACAGUGGUUCUCAGUAGAGCUAUGCAUCAGAAUUACCUGUAGAUGUUUUAAUGUUAGCAUAAUUUCCAAGGCUACAUCUUAGACAAAAAUAAGAAGGCCCAGAACAACAGGAAAACAUUUUUUAAGUAAAGAAGUAGCAUGAUCAGAUUUUGUUUUAAAAAGUCAAUUUUGUUAGCCACGUGAAAGAUAAGCUAUAAUGGUGAGAAACAAGAGAGAAUCCAAUUAGGGGAGUGUUUUAGUAAUGCAAGUGAGGUACGAUGUGCAGAUGAAAUAAGGAAAUGUGAUUGGAGACAGACAAGAGAAGGUGGAUUUGAAAGGGAAACAAUAUGUUUUGGUAACUUAAAUGAUGAGAGGAAAUAAGUAGUGGGAUAUACAUAAUGUAUGUAUAUGUGUGUGUUCGUGUAUAUAUACAUAUUUGUAUAUAUAUACAUAUUUACAUAUAUAAAGGCAUAUGUAUGUGUGUGUGUGUAUGUGUGUAUACCAGGAUAAUUCUUGGUCCUGUUGUGAUAACCAGUAGAAACAUAUCUCUUCUCCACUGUCUCACUAUCUUCAUCGAACUGUAAGGAAGAAAAUUUCUUCUAAAACAUGCUCUUCCCUCUUUUUCCAGAAGGUAGGGAGUGUGAUAAGAUUUUCAUGGCCUUAUGCAAUUUGUAAAGAAGAAAGAAACAACUGGAGAGGUUCCUG
ensembl:lncRNA